AACGCACAUUGCGCCCGCCAGUAUUCUGGCGGGCAUGCCUGUUCGAGCGUCAUUUCAACCAUCAAGCCCCCGGCUUGCGUUGGGGCCCUGCGGCUGCCGCAGGCCCUUAAAAACAGUGGCGGGCUCGCUGUCACACCGAGCGUAGUAAUACAUCUCGCUUUGGACGUGCGGCGGGUUCUUGCCGUGAAACACCCCCCCUUCUCAAGGUUGACCUCGGAUCAGGUAGGAAUACCCGCUGAACUUAA
rnacentral:misc_RNA from 2 species